AGGGUGGGUAUCAUAAAAAUGAUAAACAGAAGCAAAUUCAGUCAUUGCAAAAAGAGACACUGGAGAUUUGAGGAAUGUAAUCUUUCAAGAGGCGAUUAAGACUCUUACAACUGAUAAGGUGGCUCAGUUCCCCCCCCACCUCACCCCACCAUGCCAAGAAGAUUCCCUGAAAGAGCCGGAAGCCGACAACUUGCUAAUGAAACUUGUUUCAUCAUCUGGUUGUUCCUCACAAUUAUUCAUUGUCUCCAGUCUCCCUGCCUCGAGCUCCAUCCUCUGUGCGCUAUGAACCGGCCAACAUGUCUCCUCUUCCUGCUCAUCCCGUAUGGCCAGCAGCCAAACCGUAUUAAAGGCUCACAUCGUCAAAACCAAGCGGCACAUCAGGAGGGCGAGGCUGGCCACAUAAGAGUGACAUCAAGUGGCAAGGUAUACGAAUAUCAGCCUAUGGCACAAUAGAAGAUGAAGAAUUGCAUGAUUACAUAGACAUUGGCGAGUUUGUGUGCAACGAGACAAUGCUGGGUGAAUACAUUUUGUUUUGUUGGGUGCCCUUCCAAGUCGUCAUGUCGAUGAUCAACACAAGCUCUUGUAACUGGAAUGAGGCGAUCAGGCCCUACGCCGAGCUGGUGAUGUGCACAAAGGAGGUCUCCUGGGACUCUGGCUGCGAUUAUCCAAACCUGCUGACUGAGGAGUUCUUCCUUCAGAUUCACACGGAGUACUUUUCAAACUGUUCCACUCAGGCUGUGAAUCUGGAGCCCCCAGAAACUGUGGUUAUGUUCCUGACCAUCACAUGCGUCUCUAUGGUCAUCUUCCUGAGUGCCUUUAUAACUUGGAGGAACAGCCGAAGGAACCUCACAUCAAAGGACACCAUGGUGUAUUUCGAAUUAAAACGCUGGACGGAAUCCCACUCGGUGAAGUGAUUCCUCCUCGCUGGAGUGGUUGGAGCAAACCACCAUGUGAACUGGACAAAGAGAAAAGACCAACUGUCAGCUUCAACUUGCAAUCUUAAGAACCGCAAAAGGAAGACGCACAAUUUGAAGAUGGGGCAGCUUUGUAACCAGCACGCAAUAGAGACAUCGACCUGCAAGAUGGAUCAAAAAGCAACACUUUAGCUGGUUCAUUAAG